rnacentral:lncRNA from 15 species
ACUUCUGUCUACAUCUGUCUACAUCUGUUCUACCUCUGUCUACCUCUGGUCUACAUCUGUUCUACCUCUAGUCUACAUCUGUUCUACCUCUAUCUACAUCUGUCUACCUCUGGUCUACCUCUGUCUACCUCUGGUCUACCUCUGGUCUACCUCUGGUCUACAUCUUUCUACCUCUGGUCUACGUCUGCCCCACUGCUAACCUCUGUGUUCACUCUACGUCGGGGUGGUUUACAAUGUGGAUGUUAUUUUGGUGUUUAGGACCACAACCUGCAGGAAAACCUCUCAGCUCAUCCUAAAUCCAGGAAGCAGGUCCGGUCAGCUCCACCUCCUGGUUCACUGCAGGUGACAAGGCCAGGCGUGGACCUCCUUGAUGACCCGAUUGUGGGUGUCAUCAAUUCCCUGAACAGGUUCUGUACGAGUCAGGAUGCUGCAGCAGACGCAGCAGCCAGCGAGGAGCGAGGAAGAACAGCAGCUGGUCAGAGUCCGGUUCACCGUCUGCAACAGAGAUUUACUGAGUCUGUCAGUACACUGAGUGUGAGGAGGGGCUGCAGGUCCAUCAGAACUGACAGAAGGUUCCAGAUUUUUGGACCCAAACAGGAACCAGAUGAGAGCUCACACUCGUUCAGCUCCAUGGUGAACUCUGUGCUGUGGCGAGCCAAUGACGUCCUCCUGCUGGUUGCCGAGGACUUUUACCGGAGCGAACGGGCCGGACUCAGCAGGUUCCUCCUGGUUCCUGACAGUUUGGACCAAUGGGCUGAG